AGUGAACGCUGGCGGUAGGCCUAACACAUGCAAGUCGAACGGCAGCACAGUAAGAGCUUGCUCUUACGGGUGGCGAGUGGCGGACGGGUGAGGAAUACAUCGGAAUCUACUUUUUCGUGGGGGAUAACGUAGGGAAACUUACGCUAAUACCGCAUACGACCUACGGGUGAAAGCAGGGGAUCUUCGGACCUUGCGCGAUUGAAUGAGCCGAUGUCGGAUUAGCUAGUUGGCGGGUAAAGGCCCACCAAGGCGACGAUCCGUAGCUGGUCUGAGAGGAUGAUCAGCCACACUGGAACUGAGACACGGUCCAGACUCCUACGGGAGGCAGCAGUGGGGAAUAUUGGACAAUGGGCGCAAGCCUGAUCCAGCCAUACCGCGUGGGUGAAGAAGGCCUUCGGGUUGUAAAGCUCUUUUGUUGGGAAAGAAAAGCAGCAGGUUAAUACCCCGCUGUUCUGACGGUACCCAAAGAAUAAGCACCGGCUAACUUCGUG
rnacentral:rRNA from 1 species